rnacentral:rRNA from 1 species
UCUUGCGCAAUGGGCGAAAGCCUGACGGAGCAACGCCGCGUGAGCGAAGAAGGCCUUCGGGUUGUAAAGCUCUGUGAUAUUGGACGAAUGUUCUUCCUGCAAAUAGUGGGAAGAAAUGACGGUACAGUAAGAGGAAGCCCCGGCUAACUACGUGCCAGCAGCCGCGGUAAUACGUAGGUGGCAAGCGUUGUCCGGAUUUACUGGGCGUAAAGAGCGCGCAGGCGGUCGUACAAGUCGCGUGUGAAAGCCCCCGGCUCAACUGGGGAGGGUCACGCGAUACUGUUCGACUCGAAGGCAGGAGAGGGAAGUGGAAUUCCCGGUGUAGUGGUGAAAUGCGUAGAUAUCGGGAGGAACACCAGUGGCGAAGGCGACUUCCUGGCCUGUUCUUGACGCUGAGGCGCGAAAGCUAGGGUAGCAAAC